UAGCCAUGGGCAGGUUGAAGGUUGGGUAACACUAACUGGAGGACCGAACCGACUAAUGUUGAAAAAUUAGCGGAUGACCUGUGGCUGGGGGUGAAAGGCCAAUCAAACCGGGAGAUAGCUGGUUCUCCCCGAAAGCUAUUUAGGUAGCGCCUCGUGAAUUCAUCUCCGGGGGUAGAGCACUGUUUCGGCUAGGGGGCCAUCCCGGCUUACCAACCCGAUGCAAACUGCGAAUACCGGAGAAUGUUAUCACGGGAGACACACGGCGGGUGCUAACGUCCGUCGUGAAGAGGGAAACAACCCAGACCGCCAGCUAAGGUCCCAAAGUCAUGGUUAAGUGGGAAACGAUGUGGGAAGGCCCAGACAGCCAGGAUGUUGGCUUAGAAGCAGCCAUCAUUUAAAGAAAGCGUAAUAGCUCACUGGUCGAGUCGGCCUGCGCGGAAGAUGUAACGGGGCUAAACCAUGCACCGAAGCUGCGGCAGCGACACUGUGUGUUGUUGGGUAGGGGAGCGUUCUGUAAGCCUGUGAAGGUGUGUCGUGAGGCAUGCUGGAGGUAUCAGAAGUGCGAAUGCUGACAUAAGUAACGAUAAAGCGGGUGAAAAGCCCGCUCGCCGGAAGACCAAGGGUUCCUGUCCAACGUUAAUCGGGGCAGGGUGAGUCGACCCCUAAGGCGAGGCCGAAAGGCGUAGUCGAUGGGAAACGGGUUAAUAUUCCCGUACUUGGUGUUACUGCGAAGGGGGGACGGAGAAGGCUAUGUUGGCCGGGCGACGGUUGUCCCGGUUUAAGCGUGUAGGUGUGUGUUCCAGGUAAAUCCGGUUCACUUUAACACUGAGGCGUGA
rnacentral:rRNA from 1 species